rnacentral:rRNA from 1 species
GGAAUAUUGGGCAAUGGGCGAAAGCCUGACCCAGCAACGCCGCGUGAAGGAAGAAGGUUUUCGGAUUGUAAACUUCUGUCCUAUGUGAAGAGUAGUAGACGGUAGCAUAGGAGGAAGCCCCGGCUAACUACGUGCCAGCAGCCGCGGUAAUACGUAGGGGGCGAGCGUUGUCCGGAAUGAUUGGGCGUAAAGGGCGCGUAGGCGGCUUGAUAAGUCUGGAGUGAAAGUCCUGUUUUCAAGAUGGGAAUUGCUUUGGAUACUGUUGAGCUUGAGUGCGGGAGAGGUUAUCGGAAUUCCCGGUGUAGCGGUGAAAUGCGUAGAGAUCGGGAGGAACACCAGUGGCGAAGGCGGGUAACUGGACCGCAACUGACGCUGAGGCGCGAAAGUGUGGGGAGCAAACA